GACGAACGCUGGCGGCGUGCUUAACACAUGCAAGUCGAACGGGGAAGCGCCUUCCUUUUUGGUGGGUGUGGAUGAGUGGCGAACGGGUGAGUAACACGUGAGUAACCUGCCCCCUUCUUCUGGAUAACCGCAUGAAAGUGUGGCUAAUACGGGAUAUUCUGGGUCUGUCGCAUGAUGGGUCUGGGAAAGAUAUUGUUUCGGUGGGGGAUGGGCUCGCGGCCUAUCAGCUUGUUGGGGGGGUGAUGGCCUACCAAGGCGGUGACGGGUAGCCGGCCUGAGAGGGUGCACGGUCACACUGGGACUGAGACACGGCCCAGACUCGUACGGGAGGCAGCAGUGGGGAAUAUUGCACAAUGGGCGCAAGCCUGAUGCAGCGACGCCGCGUGAGGGAUGGAGGCCUGCGGGUUGUGAAACUCUUUCGCCAGUGAAGCAGGCCUGCCUCGUUUGUGGGUGGGUUGACGGUAGCUGGAUAAGAAGCGCCGGCUAACUACGUG
rnacentral:rRNA from 1 species